rnacentral:rRNA from 1 species
UACGUAGGGUGCGAGCGUUGUCCGGAAUUAUUGGGCGUAAAGGGCUCGUAGGCGGUUUGUCGCGUCGGGAGUGAAAACCCAGGGCUUAACUCUGGGCUUGCUUUCGAUACGGGCAGACUAGAGGUAUGCAGGGGAGAACGGAAUUCCUGGUGUAGCGGUGAAAUGCGCAGAUAUCAGGAGGAACACCGGUGGCGAGGGCGGUUCUCUGGGCAUUACCUGACGCUGAGGUGCGAAAGCGUGGGGAGCAAACAGG